AGUGAACGCUGGCGGUAGGCCUAACACAUGCAAGUCGAACGGCAGCACAGUAAGAGCUUGCUCUUACGGGUGGCGGGUGGCGGACGGGUGAGGAAUACAUCGGAAUCUACUUUUUCGUGGGGGAUAACGUAGGGAAACUUACGCUAAUACCGCAUACGACCUACGGGUGAAAGCAGGGGAUCUUCGGACCUUGCGCGAUUGAAUGAGCCGAUGUCGGAUUAGCUAGUUGGCGGGGUAACGGCCCACCAAGGCGACGAUCCGUAGCUGGUCGGAGAGGAUGAUCGGCCACACUGGAACUGAGACACGGUCCAGACUCCUACGGGAGGCAGCAGUGGGGAAUAUUGGACAAUGGGCGCAAGCCUGAUCCAGCCAUACCGCGUGGGUGGAGAAGGCCUUCGGGUUGUAAAGCCCUUUUGUUGGGAAAGAAAAGCAGCAGGUUAAUACCCCGCUGUUCUGACGGUACCCAAAGAAUAAGCACCGGCUAACUUCGUG
rnacentral:rRNA from 1 species